rnacentral:RNase_P_RNA from 1 species
UCAGUCGGCCGGACGGCCGCUCCCGCUACGGUCGAAAGGCUGCGGGAGAGGAAAGUCCGGGCUCCAUCGACAUACGGUGCCGGAUAACGUCCGGCGGGGGCGACCCCAGGGACAGUGCCACAGAGAACGAACCGCCCCCUCUCCGGAGGAGGUAAGGGUGAAAAGGUGCGGUAAGAGCGCACCGCGGGUCCGGCAACGGAACCGGCAUGGCAAACCACACCGGGAGCAAAACCGAAUAGGGACGGCAACGCGGGAUGUUCGCGCAAGCGAUAACUCCGCAGGGCGAUGUCAGGCUCGCCGUCCGGGUAGGUUGCUCGAGGCAACGUGCAAACGUUGUCCCAGAGGAAUGGCCGUCACGUAUCGUUUGCGCAAGCAGGCGGUGCCCUACAAAACCCGGCUUACAGGCUGGCUGAUGCU